ACCGGCGGCUCGAGUGGUGGCCACUAUUACUGGGCUUAAAGCGUUCGUAGCUGGCUUGUUAAGUCUCUGGGGAAAUCUUCCGGCUCAACCGGAAGGCGUCUCAGGGAUACUGGCAGGCUAGGGACCGGAAGAGGUGAGAGGUACUCCAGGGUUGGGGGGAAAAUCCGGUAAUCCUUGGGGAACACCCUGGGGCGAGGGCGCCCCACCAGGACGCCUCCAACAUGGGGAAACGAAAGCGGGGGAGCAAACCG
rnacentral:rRNA from 1 species